AACGGUCUAUACCUGCGGUACCUGCGGAAGGAUCAUUAGUGAACGCCCUCGCGGGCUUAUAACUAUUCCAAACCUCUGUGAACCGUGCCCUUCGGGGCUAUUUUACAAACAUGGUGUAAUGAACGUCAUAUAUCAUAACAAAACAAAACUUUUAGCAAUGGAUCUCU
rnacentral:misc_RNA from 1 species